GUCCUCGCUUCAGCAGUACAUAUGCGAAGAUUGAAACAAUACAGAGAAGAUUAGCAUGGGCUGUGAGCAAGGAUGACAUGCAAAUUCUUGAAGCAUUUCAUAUUUUG
ensembl:snRNA U6 U6 spliceosomal RNA